CCUUUUAGCUUGCUGAAUGAAAUCCUCCACAUCUGAGGAUUACUCUGAGACCCACUUCUUGCUUGAGACCUGUUGACUCUACUCCAUUUGGCAUAAGUUAUCCCCUCCUCAGAAGUACCGUGUCUGCGUCACUCAUUUGUCUCUCCUGAACACACUUCAGUCUUGCUCUAGUUUUUAUUCUGUUGUGUUUUAGUAUCUUCUAAAUUCACCUUUUGUUUUGUCUUUCUACCUAUGUGAUCAACUCCUUUAGAGCAAGGAAGAUUCCCAAAAGUAUUUUGCAAGCCUGUGCCUCCCACAUAAUAAGCAUUCAGCAAAAAUCUGCUGAUGCAUUGGUCAAGUCCCAAUCUGGAAGCACCUGCAAGGUACAACUGACUAAGAGAGGCAGGAUGCUCGGUGACAUGAAAUGGUAUUCUGCAGCUUUCAUUGCUCUAAAGCUCUCCAUUACCCAGGGAAAGGAUUUCCACUCAAUUAGAUCACAGAAUAGAGGAUUAUGCGGUUUGAGUCCCAACAUGGGGAAGACUUGAAGAGAUUGUGUGUCAGAAAAACUAACUGAAGACAAGAGCUACAAUGUGUGUUAGCACGGAGGCAGUGUCCGCCCCAAGAACAGUCAGGUAUUUGUCUUCCUUUGUGCCUUCAGAGGGCUGUGUUGAGGGCUAGCACUCAUUUCCAGGAGAAAUGAAUCGCGCACCCUCAGAUUGGAUGUGGCUAGCUGGGUCUAGAGGGUGUCAGUCUUUGAGCUGCACGCCGUCUAACGUCAACACUUCGUUUACUUACAAUAUAAAUUAAAUCCCUGAGCUGGAACAAGCCAGGGGAGAGACAGCGGGCUAGACUUGUCAUGGCAGGAAAGAGUAAAACACAGUGUAUCCUCACAAAACAUAUUAAAGAUGUAAAUUUGGGUAGGAAAAAUCCCGUUAUGAUUAUUGCUUAUUACAUGUUGUUACUUAAUCUGAAUUCUUCCAGGAAAUUUGAGUUCACUGAAUUCAGCUUGGUAGGACUCAGUGGAAUAAAGAAAAGCUGAAAGAAAGAGUGUUAAAUUCUCCACCUGGUUUGGUUGUUGAUUUCUCUUUAACCUAUAGGAGGUUCAUUGUAUUCUGCCCUUGACAGACAGUAAUAAAAUUAUGGUCAAUUUGGG